GAUGAAGAACGCAGCGAAAUGCGAUAAGUAAUGUGAAUUGCAGAAUUCAGUGAAUCAUCGAAUCUUUGAACGCACAUUGCGCCCGCCAGUAUUCUGGCGGGCAUGCCUGUCUGAGCGUCAUUUCAACCCUCAUGCCCCUAGGGCGUGGUGUUGGGGAUCGGCCAAAGCCCGCGAGGGACGGCCGGCCCCUAAAUCUAGUGGCGGACCCGUCGUGGCCUCCUCUGCGAAGUAGUGAUAUUCCGCAUCGGAGAGCGAUGAGCCCCUGCCGUUAAACCCCCAACUUUCCAAGGUUGACCUCAGAUCAGAUAGGAAUACCCGCUGAACUUAAGCAUAUCAAUAAGCGGAGGA
rnacentral:misc_RNA from 1 species